GGGUAACCUGCCCUAUGCUGGGAAUAACCUCGGGAAACUGAGAAUAAUGCCCCAUAGUCCACCAUGCCUGGAACGGUUGGUGGAUGAAAGCUCCGGCGGCAUAGGAUGGGCCUGCGGCGUAUCAGGUCGUAGGGGGUGUAACGUACCCUCUAGCCAUCGACGCGUACGGGUGUUGGGAGACAUAGCCCGGAGAUGGAUUCUGAGACACGAAUCCAGACCCUACGGGGUGCAGCAGGCGCGAAAACUUGGCAAUGCGAGAAAUCGUGACCAGGGAACUCCAAGUGGCUGGGGUAAGACCGGUGCUUUUCUUGACUCUUCAAAGGUCUUGGAAUAAGGGGUGGGUAAGGACGGUGCCAGCCGCCGCGGUAAUACCGGCGCCUCAAGUGGUAGUCGAUUUUAUUGGGCCUAAAACGUCCGUCGCCUGUUUGGUACAUUCGUGGGUAAAUCAACCAGCUCAACUGGUUGAAUUCUGCGAGCACGGCCAGACUUGGGACCGGGAGAGGUGUGGGGUACGCUCAGGGUAGGGGUAAAAUCCUGUCAUCCUGAGCGGACCACCUGUUGCGAAGGCUCCACACUAGAACGGAUCCGACGGUCAGGGACGAAGCCUAGGGGCACGAACCGGAUUAGAUACCCGGGUAGUCCUAGGUGUAAACGCUGUGGACUUGGUGUUGGGAAGGUUCCGAGCCUUCUCAGUGCC
rnacentral:rRNA from 1 species